rnacentral:rRNA from 1 species
CCUGACGGUAGUCGUAUGCUCGUCUCCGAGACUAAGCCAUGCAAGUCCAAGUACACGUCCUUGAACGACGGAACUGCGAACGGCUCAUUAAAUCAGUUGCGAUCUACUCGGCGUUCCGCGCCGCCGGAUAACCGUAGUAAUUCUAGGGCUAAUACGUGCGAAGCGCCCGAAGCCGCGAGGCGACGGCGUUCUCGCCGGAUGUAGGAACCGACCCCGGGGGACCGCCGGGGGCAACCCGGCGCCCCCGAGACGGGGCGAACCACGGUGAAAUGACGGAUCGUCGGCCCCGCGCCGGCGACUCGCCGAAUGAGUUUCUGACCUAUCAACUCGAGACGGCGGGGUAGAGGCCCGCCGCGGUAACGACGGGUAACGGGGAAUCAGGGUUCGAUUCCGGAGAGGGAGCCCGAGAAACGGCUACCACUUCCAAGGAAGGCAGCAGGCGCGCAACUU